rnacentral:rRNA from 1 species
UACGUAGGGUGCAAGCGUUAAUCGGAAUUACUGGGCGUAAAGCGUGCGCAGGCGGCUUUGCAAGACAGAUGUGAAAUCCCCGGGCUUAACCUGGGAACUGCAUUUGUGACUGCAUGGCUGGAGUGCGGCAGAGGGGGAUGGAAUUCCGCGUGUAGCAGUGAAAUGCGUAGAUAUGCGGAGGAACACCGAUGGCGAAGGCGAUCCCCUGGGCAUGCACUGACGCUCAUGCGCGAAAGCGUGGGGAGCAAACAGG